AGAAACUUACGUCAAUUUCAGGUUACGUUCGCAACGAAUUGUUCUUAAUUGGUGAAGAUGGUUUUGGAACCAGAAGAAUGACCAGUUUUUGCAAGUUAUUUGGAAGAUAUUAAGAUCUUGAAAGAAAGGACGCAUCUAUGUACCAAAGAUCAGAGAUCAUCUAUGUACCAAGGAUGCAAAAUUCAAAGGCGGAUAGCCUAGCACGCAGUGUCUGGAAGCAAUCGUCUUUCGUCGUUCACAUGGAUCAAGA
rnacentral:lncRNA from 1 species